rnacentral:rRNA from 1 species
UACGAAGGGGGCUAGCGUUGCUCGGAAUUACUGGGCGUAAAGCGUGCGCAGGCGGUUCGUUAAGUUCGUUGUGAAAGCCCCGGGCUCAACCUGGGAACUGCAAUGGAAACUGGCGGGCUUGAAUGCGGCAGAGGGGGGUGGAAUUCCGCGUGUAGCAGUGAAAUGCGUAGAGAUGCGGAGGAACACCGAUGGCGAAGGCAGCCCCCUGGGCCGACAUUGACGCUCAGGCACGAAAGCGUGGGGAGCAAACAGG